AAGGCGCAGUUUGGAGUUGUUGCCUGGAUACCAAUGCUUUACGUGCUGCCACUGGUUCUGCUGAUUUUUCAGCGAAAGUAUGGGAUGCAUUAACUGGAGAUGUACUGCACUCAUUUGAGCACAAGCAUAUUGUUCGUGCCUGUUCUUUUUCAGAGGAUACACACCUUUUAUUGACUGGUGGUCUGGAGAAAGUACUACGGAUAUAUGAUUU
rnacentral:misc_RNA from 1 species